rnacentral:rRNA from 1 species
GAGACAGCAGCCGCCGCGGUAAUACGUAGGUGGCAAGCGUUGUCCGGAAUUAUUGGGCGUAAAGGGCACGCAGGCGGUUUCUUAAGUCUGAUGUGAAAGCCCCCGGCUCAACCGGGGAGGGUCAUUGGAAACUGGGAAACUUGAGUGCAGAAGAGGAGAGUGGAAUUCCACGUGUAGCGGUGAAAUGCGUAGAGAUGUGGAGGGACACCAGUGGCGAAGGCGACUCUCUGGUCUGUAACUGACGCUGAGGAGCGAAAGCGUGGGGAGCGAACAGGAUUAGAGACCCCUGUAGUCCCUGUCUCUUAUAC